rnacentral:lncRNA from 1 species
GUGAGCCUGUAUGCAGCAGCUGCUGCAGCAGAAGCUUCGAAACAUCUCCAAACAGUUUCAUAUUGGGUGCACCCAGCUGCAGCUCAUCCAUCUCUCAACAAAAUUUGCCUCAAAACAUGCUACAUCAUAGGUCACAUGCACUAUCCACCCUAACACCUUCUGGUAGUCAUGCCUAGUAUUAGUCCUCUAUCGCCGUUAGUUAACACUACAAGACAUUGCUGCAGCAGCAGUCCUCCACAAGCAGCUUGUGAGCCUGUAUGCAGCAAAGAUCAGGCAGGGGCAUACAGUAGCACCUUUGUCAGACCAUCAUGAACUGCAAUGACUGUGAUGUGGAACUUAGAAUGCAGUUUUUUGCCACACACCUUACUACUGCUUUAAUCUUCCACUGACUCUGCGUGCUGAUGUGUGGUGGGGAAAGCAUGUGGUGUUGUCCACAGCAGCUGCAGGUUGCUGGGUGGGCCCUGUAGACAGACAAACAUGCCCAUCAUAAGUUAAAUACGCCAAACCCUGUAUAGGAGACUCCAUACAGAAUAUAUGCAGCAAGAGGUAAUUUGACACAAAAUCCAAAAAAACUGCAGUUGCCCUUGUUUGCUUGCACAUGAAUGACAAUCAUCCCCCCCUCAAAAUCAGGGGAUCCCCAACCAUCUGUCAAUCUCAGAGUGAUGGACGCGACUGUGUAGAUACCUGUAGUCACAGCUAUCACCUCCCAAGCAGAAAAAGCAUGCCCGGGGACCGAACUCAGGUCGGAACUAGGAUACUAGCCUAUACCAACCCGUUCUAUCAUGACUUCCCCAGAGAACAUCUCACCAAUCCCAAGUCUUAGCUCCGUGUAUGACCUAGUAACCAACAUGCUUGCUCAACGGCUUUUUCCUGUUUGAACCUGGGUAGUUGCCUUAAUCAACCUGUUACAUCAUGAUUUCCUCCAGAGAACAACUCACCAGUGGUCACUAUUCAUGUGUCAUGCUUAGUGAUAUGAGCCAGUAGCCAACAUACGCCUCCAUCCUCAACGGCUUCCAAACCGGCACCCAUAUCUCAGGCAGAGCGGCAUCAUGCUUAUGUCACCUUUCUUCAUCGUAGGCAGAGCUUUGGUGGAUGAUGCCGUCUGCAGCUCCCGUUUCUCGCUUCUGUACACAUGCCUGCUGAAGCAAGUUUACCAUAUGGGGUUGCAACCCCCUCAUUUGAGUCCCGCAGAUCAUGCAAGCAAGCAGUUGCAAUGUCUAGCAUGCAAGCCCAAUUUUACUACUUCUCAUGAGACAACAUCAUACCUUGGGUUGUUGCUUGGGUUUGGUGCUGCCCAGAUGUGCAGCCAUGGCAUGAGGAGCGUGGUCGCGAUGGUGAAGUCCUAUGUUGCCAAGUUGCCAUAGAACUCGGCAAAGUCGUCAUAUUUCAUUCCACUGACGGCCAGGAAUUCCUCAAACGCUUUGGUGGCCUUAUCACCAGCAGCACUGCAAACGUUGCUGGGCACGUUUAAAAUGUACCGCUCAUCUGAUGAACCAGUGCAAUGGCUGAUGAUGCCACUCACUUGUCAUUCGUUGGCUGCAUCAUAGCUGCAGCUGGACCUCGUGCAUCCUGCGCCUAUUGUCCGACGGCUGCGUGGGCUGCAUCCCGAAUCCACCCACAAAAUCAUCAUUGGCUUCCAUUGUGAUAUUACCUCUUAAGCAUCUUUAG